rnacentral:pre_miRNA from 1 species
AAAAAGGCAAACCCUGAGUUUCCGUGUCCAACUUUGACUGUCCGUCUUAUAUGAAAUUUUUUUUAUAAUUCGUAUUUUUAUUGUUGUAGAUGAUAAAACAUGAUUAAUAUUUUAUGCGUGACUUGUCUUUUUAAUUUUUUUAAUAUUUUUUUCAAAUAAGACAGACGGUCAAACGUUGAGCACGAAAACCAGGGUUUGCUUUUUUU